CAUUAAAACACCAGUUCCCAUAUGAUCACCAAAGGUAAGCAAUGUCAAACCUGGUCAGUACCAAGAUGGGUGAUUGCUUGGGAAUAUCAGGUGCUGUAAG